rnacentral:rRNA from 1 species
CCUACGGGAGGCAGCAGUGGGGAAUAUUGCACAAUGGGGGAAACCCUGAUGCAGCGAAGCCGCGUGAAGGAAGAAGUAGUUAGGUAUGUAAACUUCUAUCAGCAGGGAAGAAAAUGACGGUACCUGACUAAGAAGCCCAGGCUAAGUACGUGCCAGCAGCCGCGGUAAUACGUAGGGGGCAAGCGUUAUCCGGAUUUACUGGGUGUAAAGGGAGCGUAGGCGGUAAUGCAAGUCAGAAGUGAAAGCCCGGGGCUCAACUCCGGGACUGCUUUUGAAACUGUGUUGCUAGAUUGCAGGAGAGGUAAGUGGAAUGCCUAGUGUAGCGGUGAAAUGCGUAGAUAUUAGGAGGAACACCAGUUGCGAAGGCGGCUUACUGGACUGUAAAUGACGCUGAGGCUCGAAAGCGUGGGGAGCAAACAGGAUUAGAUACCCUUGUAGUC